CCCUUCCUUCCCAGAGGGGGUGUUUUUUGUUGGCCCUAGCUACUCCGGCUGGCAGGGGAUUUACGCAGACACUCGAAUGUAAUGAAAUCCUCUUGUUGUGCGCAAGCACUACUAUACAACUUUCAACAACGGAUCUCUUGGCUCUCGCAUCGAUGAAGAACUCAGCGAAUUGCGAUAAGUAAUGUGAAUUGCAGAAUUCAGUGAAUCAUCGAAUCUUUGAACGCACCUUGCACCCUUUGGCAUUCCGAAGGGUAUGCUCGUUUGAGUGUCAUUGUACUCUCACACUUCUGAUUCCUUUUGUUGGAUUGGGAGCGGUGGAUUUGGGUGUUGCUUCUUUCCUGUGGCUCACCUCAAAUGAGUUAGUGCAACUCUUGGUUGGACAUAGUACGGCGUGAUAAGUGUCUUCGCCGGCGCCUCCUUGCCCAAGGAGGGUGGCCGAUCAGGAGCUCUGUGCUUCAAACCGUCUUCGGACACUCUCUGACAACUUGACCUCAAAUCGAGUAGGACUACCCGCUGAACUUAAGCAUAUCAAUAACCGGAGGACUCCUCUUAUUGAAAAG
rnacentral:rRNA from 1 species